CUUGAUGGACCCCAGCAGCAGCGGCCGCCCGUCCGGACGCUCCUGACCGUACGUCGCCAGCAGCGCCUGCGCCUC
rnacentral:antisense_RNA from 1 species